rnacentral:pre_miRNA from 1 species
UCUAGAACUCGAGAUAUGGGCUGAACAUUGAACAGUGUCUGGGCUGCAGGACAAAUUCGGACUUCUCCAUUGUUGCUAUAAUUUGGACUUGAAAACGGCUUUUGUAAAUCUUGGACUCUACAUGAAAGUUAUAGGCCUAUGUCUUACCGAAUCUGUC